rnacentral:rRNA from 1 species
UACGAAGGGGGCUAGCGUUGCUCGGAAUUACUGGGCGUAAAGCGCACGUAGGCGGUCUUUUAAGUCGGGGGUGAAAUCCUGGAGCUCAACUCCAGAACUGCCUUCGAAACUGGGAAUCUUGAGUCCGGGAGAGGUGAGUGGAACUGCGAGUGUAGAGGUGAAAUUCGUAGAUAUUCGCAAGAACACCAGUGGCGAAGGCGGGUCUCUGGGCCGAAACUGACGCUGAGGAGCGAAAGCGUGGGGAGCGAACAGG